rnacentral:misc_RNA from 1 species
GAUGCCUUUGCUAGUUACCAAAGUACAUGUUAAUCAUAGGUGUUAGUAGUGACUGUCUACUGUAAUCAUACAGGAUAAUAUGAUAUAUAGAAUAUAUUCAUAAUUUAAAGAAUAUUCAGAAAGAAAGGUUCAUUUUGCUAAAUAUUACAAAAUCUUUAUUUUUUUAAUCUUCAUGUCAAACUUCUGGAAUCUAUGGGUUUUUACCGAUGUACCUCUUAAAUGUCAUUUGUAAAUUCUUGCAUGUUUG